GAUGGGUCUUUGGUCUGAUCCAGCAGAGCUCUUUUUAGGUUUUUAACCCACCCUCAAAGCUCUGAUUGACCAAGCUUUCGUGCAUCUUGGCGACUUCUGAUUUCAAAGAUCCUCGAGAGAAAGGAACAGCGUGUGGAUUGUCAUAAGCCAUCUGGCAAAGGACUGGCAGAUAAACCUCUCAGAUCGUUCAGCACAGAUACAUAUUCUCCAUCGUCUAACACCAGAAAGCGGCGUCUUGCGUGCGACUUGGAAGGCGCUGCCCUGCUCUGCCGAAGCAAGGGGAUGCACAGAGGCCAAGCCUGAAAUCCUGUGCACGGUUCCGCUUGACAAAUGGCGUGCUAAAAAUGGAAAGCACAGAACAGAAGGCAACCAGUAGGAUAAAAAAAGACGAAGACACACACAUAGAAAGAGAGACUUUGGUUCUUCAGGAAGGAUGGAGAGGGGAGCAAAGGAAUCCCAACAGCAAAGCCUUUGAAAACCGAGAGCUGAACAGAGGGACCUCGUUAAGCCUUCAGUGUAUGGUUUUUGAAAGGACGACAUCUGGCGACAGACGCCAACAGCAAACAGAGGAAUCGGGAAGAUGUUAGUUCACACAACCUCAUGCCAAUGUGGAAGUUACUGUGAGCUGUCAGCUGCGGAAUAUGAGGUCUUCUUCAAUGGUUUCUGGCAAAGAUACUUACAGCAUAUAAUGAAGAAAGAAAGAAAGAAAGAAAGAAAGAAAGAAAGAAAGAAAGAAAGAAAGAAAGAAAGAAAGAGAAACCUGUGACCC